rnacentral:rRNA from 1 species
UUUUUACCGGAGUACUAUGAAUACUAUAAAUUUAAAACUCAAAGAACUUGGCGGUGUUUUAGACCACUCAGGGGAACCUGUCUCGUAAUCGACAAUCCACGUUGUACCUGACCUUUCUUUGUUUUCAGUUUGUAUACCGUUGUCGUCAGGUAACUUUUUAGAAUGUAGAAGUUGGCUGGAGAAAUAAAUGAUUUAGUACGUCAAAUCAAGGUGCAGCUAAUAGAAAGGGGAGGAUGGGUUACAAUUAUUUAUUUAUAAUUACGGAUUAUUAUGUUAAAGCGUAAGGAUAAGAAGGAGGACUUGAAAGUAAAUUAAAUUUAUAAAAAUAAAUUUGAAUAAGGCUCUGAAACGUGU